UACAGAGGGUGCGAGCGUUGUCCGGAAUCACUGGGCGUAAAGGGCGCGUAGGCGGCCUGGUAAGUAGGGGGUGAAAUCCUGCGGCUCAACCGCAGGGCUGCCUUCUAGACUGUCAGGCUCGAGCACGGUAGAGGCUGGUGGAAUUCCCGGUGUAGCGGUGGAAUGCGUAGAGAUCGGGAAGAACAUCGGUGGCGAAGGCGGCCAGCUGGGCCGUUGCUGACGCUGAGGCGCGACAGCGUGGGGAGCAAAC
rnacentral:rRNA from 1 species